CACGUAGGGUGCGAGCGUUGUCCGGAAUUAUUGGGCGUAAAGAGCUCGUAGGCGGUGUGUCGCGUCGGCCGUGAAAACCUGCAGCUUAACUGUGGGCUUGCGGUCGAUACGGGCAUCACUGGAGUUCGGCAGGGGAGACUGGAAUUCCUGGUGUGGCGGUGAAAUGCGCAGAUAUCAGGAGGAACACCGGUGGCGAAGGCGGGUCUCUGGGCCGGUACUGACGCUGAGACGCGAAAGCGUGGGGAGCGAACAGG
rnacentral:rRNA from 1 species